rnacentral:rRNA from 1 species
UACGUAGGGGGCUAGCGUUGUCCGGAAUCAUUGGGCGUAAAGAGCGUGUAGGCGGCUCGAUAAGUCCGUUCUGAAAGUCCAGGGCUCAACCCUGGGAUGCGGAUGGAUACUGUCGGGCUCGAGUCCGGAAGAGGCGAGUGGAAUUCCCGGUGUAGCGGUGAAAUGCGCAGAUAUCGGGAGGAACACCAAUGGCGAAGGCAGCUCGCUGGGACGUGACUGACGCUGAGACGCGAAAGCGUGGGGAGCAAACAGG